rnacentral:rRNA from 1 species
UACAUUCAAUAAGCGGAGGAAAAGAAACCAACAGGGAUUGCCCUAGUAACGGCGAGUGAAGCGGCAACAGCUCAAAUUUGAAAUCUGGCCCCCCGGCCCGAGUUGUAAUUUGCAGAGGAUGCUUCGGGCGCGGUGCCUUCCAAGUCCCCUGGAACGGGGCGCCACAGAGGGUGAGAGCCCCGUCAGGUCGGCCGCCAAGCCUGUGUGAAGCUCCUUCGACGAGUCGAGUAGUUUGGGAAUGCUGCUCUAAGCGGGAGGUAGACCCCUUCUAAAGCUAAAUACCGGCCAGAGACCGAUAGCGCACAAGUAGAGUGAUCGAAAGAUGAAAAGCACUUUGAAAAGAGGGUUAAACAGUACGUGAAAUUGUUGAAAGGGAAGCGCUUGUGACCAGACGUGCGCCGGGGUGUUCAGCGGGCGUUCUCGCCCGUGCACUCGCCUCGGCGCAGGCCAGCGUCGGUUCUGGCGGGGGGAUAAAGACGACGGGAACGUGGCUCCUCCGGGAGUGUUAUAGCCCGUCGUGUCAUGCCCCCGCCGGGACCGAGGUUCGCGCUCCGCAAGGACGCUGGCGUAAUGGUCCCCAGCGGCCCGUCUUGAAACACGGACCAAGGAGUCGAGGUUUUGCGCGAGUGUUUGGGUGUCAAACCCGCACGCGUAAUGAAAGUGAACGUAGGUGGGAGCUUCGGCGCACCACCGACCGAUCCUGAUGUGCUCGGAUGGAUUUGAGUAGGAGCGCAGGGCCUCGGACCCGAAAGAUGGUGAACUAUACGUGGAUAGGGUGAAGCCAGAGGAAACUCUGGUGGAGGCUCGCAGCGGUUCUGACGUGCAAAUCGAUCGUCAAAUCUGCGUAUGGGGGCGAAAGACUAAUCGA